rnacentral:rRNA from 1 species
AACGAACGCUGGCGGCAGGCUUAACACAUGCAAGUCGAACGCCCCGCAAGGGGAGUGGCAGACGGGUGAGUAACGCGUGGGAACAUACCCUUUCCUGCGGAAUAGCUCUGGGAAACUGGAAUUAAUACCGCAUACGCCCUACGGGGGAAAGAUUUAUCGGGGAAGGAUUGGCCCGCGUUGGAUUAGCUAGUUGGUGGGGUAAAGGCCUACCAAGGCGACGAUCCAUAGCUGGUCUGAGAGGAUGAUCAGCCACAUUGGGACUGAGACACGGCCCAAACUCCUACGGGAGGCAGCAGUGGGGAUUAUUGGACAAUGGGCGCAAGCCUGAUUCAGCCAUGCCGCGUGAGUGAUGAAGGCCUUAGGGUUGUAAAGCUCUUUCACCGAUGAAGAUAAUGACGGUAGUCGGAGAAGAAGCCCCGGCUAACUUCGUGCCAGCCGCCGCCGUAAAAC